rnacentral:rRNA from 1 species
UAUUGGUCAAUGGGCGGAAGCCUGAUCCAGCCAUGCCACGUGAGUGAUGACGGCCUUAGGGUUGUAAAGCUCUUUUCUCCGGGACGAUAAUGACGGUACCGGAGGAAUAAGCCCCGGCUAACUUCGUGCCAGCAGCCGCGGUAAUACGAAGGGGGCUAGCGUUGCUCGGAAUCACUGGGCGUAAAGGGCGCGUAGGCGGCUGAUUUAGUCGAGGGUGAAAGCCCGUGGCUCAACCACGGAAUGGCCUUCGAUACUGGUUGGCUUGAGACCGGAAGAGGACAGCGGAACUGCGAGUGUAGAGGUGAAAUUCGUAGAUAUUCGCAAGAACACCAGUGGCGAAGGCGGUUGUCUGGUCCGGUUCUGACGCUGAGGCGCGAAAGCGUGGGGAGCAAACAGG